AACUGGCUUGUGGCAGCCAAGCGUU
rnacentral:snRNA from 1 species